UUGAUCUUGGCUCAGAACGAACGCUGGCGGCAGGCCUAACACAUGCAAGUCGAGCGCUCACUUCGGAAUUGGGAGCGGCGGACGGGUUAGUAACGUGGGAACAUACCCUUCUCUAAGGAAUAGCCACUGGAAACGGUCGAGUAAUACCUUAUACGCCCUUCGGGUGCGGAAAGAUUUAUCGGAGAUGGAUUGGCCCGCGUUAGAUUAGAUAGUUGGUGGGGUAAUGGCCUACCAAGUCUACGAUCUAUAGCUGGUUUUAGAGGAUGAUCAGCAACACUGGGACUGAGACACGGCCCAGACUCCUACGGGAGGCAGCAGUGGGGAAUCUUAGACAAUGGGCGAAAGCCUGAUCUAGCCAUGCCGCGUGAGUGACGAAGGCCUUAGGGUCGUAAAGCUCUUUCGCCAGGGAUGAUAAUGACAGUACCUGGUAAAGAAACCCGGCUAACUCCGUGCCAGCAGCCGCGGUAUACGGAAGGGGGUUAGCGUCAUGUUCGGAAUUACUGGGGGCGUAAAGCGCGCGUAGGCGGAUCAGAAAGUUGGGGGUGAAAUCCCAGGGCUCAAACCCUGGAACUGCCUCCCAAAACUCCUGGUCUUGAGUUCGAGAGAGGUGAGUGGAAUUCCGAGUGUAGAGGUGAAAUUCGUAGAUAUUCGGAGGAACACCAGUGGCGAAGGCGGCUCACUGGCUCGAUACUGACGCUGAGGUGCGAAAGUGUGGGGAGCAAACAGGAUAGAUACCCUGGUAGUCCACACCGUAAACGAUGAAUGCCGAGACGUCGGGCAGUAUACUGUUCGGUGUCACACCUAACGGAUUAAGCAUUCCGCCUGGGGAGUACGGUCGCAAGAUUAAACUCAAAGGAAUUGACGGGGGCCCGCACAAAUGGCGGUGGAGCAUGUGGUUUAAUUCGAAUGCAACGCGCAGAACCUUACCAACCCUUGACAUCCUGUGCUCAUCCAGAGAUGGAUGGUUCCCUUCGGGGUACGCAGUGACAGGUGCUGCAUGGCUGUCGUCAGCUCGUGUCGUGAGAUGUUCGGUUAAGUCCGGCAACGAGCGCAACCCACAUCUUUAGUUGCCAGCAGUUCGGCUGGGCACUCUAAAGAAACUGCCGUGAUAAGCGGGCAGGAAGGUGUGGAUGACGUCAAGUCCUCAUGGCCCUUACGGGUUGGGCUACACACGUGCUACAAUGGCAGUAGUGACAAUGGGUUAAUCAAAAAGCUAUCUCAGUUCGGAUUGGGGUCUGCAACUCGACCCCAUGAAGCUCGGAAUCGUAGUAAUCGCGUAACAGCAUGACGCGUGAAUACGUUCCCGGGCCUUGUACACACCGCCCAAGUCACACCAUGGGAGUUGGGUUCAUUGCCCGAAGGCCGUGAUGCGCCAACCUCUUCGGAGGGGGCAGCGGACCACGGUGAGCUCAGCGACUGGGGUGAAGUCGUAACAAGGUAGC
rnacentral:rRNA from 1 species